UACGGGAAGGGCAAGCGUUAUCCGGCGUGACUGGGCGUAAAGAGUCCGUAGACGGUAAAGUAAGUUUAUUGUUAAAUGUUAAAAACUUAAUUUUAAUAGAGCAAUAAAUACUGCUUUACUUUGAGUUUUAAUAUAGAAAAAGUAGAAUUUUAUAUGGUAGGGGUGAAAUCCGUAGAUAUAUAAAGGAAUGUCAACAGCGAAGGCAACUUUUUUGGUAUAAACUGACGUUGAGGGACGAAAGUGUGGGGGAGCAAACAGG
rnacentral:rRNA from 1 species